CCUACGGGAGGCAGCAGUGGGGAAUAUUGCACAAUGGGGGGAACCCUGAUGCAGCGACGCCGCGUGAGUGAAGAAGUCAUUCGUGAUGUAAAGCUCUAUCAGCAGGGAAGAAAAUGACGGUACCUGACUAAGAAGCCCCGGCUAACUACGUGCCAGCAGCCGCGGUAAUACGUAGGGGGCAAGCGUUAUCCGGAUUUACUGGGUGUAAAGGGAGCGUAGACGGCAGCGCAAGUCAGAAGUGAAAGCCCGGGGCCCAACCCCGGGACUGCUUUGGAAACUGUUUGUCUUGAGUACUGGAGAGGCAGACGGAAUUCCUUGUGUAGCGGUGAAAUGCGUAGAUAUAAGGAGGAACACCAGUGGCGAAGGCGGUCUGCUGGACAGUAACUGACGGUGAGGCGCGAAAGCGUGGGGAGCAAACAGGAUUAGAUACCCCAGUAGUC
rnacentral:rRNA from 1 species